GGCGAACGCUGGCGGCGUGCUUAACACAUGCAAGUCGAACGGAAAGGCCCUGCUUUUGUGGGGUGCUCGAGUGGCGAACGGGUGAGUAACAUGUGAGUAACCUGCCCUUGACUUUGGGAUAACUUCAGGAAACUGGGGCUAAUACCGGAUAGGAGCUCCUGCUGCAUGGUGGGGGUUGGAAAGUUUCGGCGGUUGGGGAUGGACUCGCGGCUUAUCAGCUUGUUGGUGGGGUAGUGGCUUACCAAGGCUUUGACGGGUAGCCGGCCUGAGAGGGUGACCGGCCACAUUGGGACUGAGAUACGGCCCAGACUCCUACGGGAGGCAGCAGUGGGGAAUAUUGCACAAUGGGCGGAAGCCUGAUGCAGCAACGCCGCGUGCGGGAUGACGGCCUUCGGGUUGUAAACCGCUUUCGCCUGUGACGAAGCGUGAGUGACGGUAAUGGGUAAAGAAGCACCGGCUAACUACGUG
rnacentral:rRNA from 1 species